GGCUCGGCUGUAGUGCACGCCGCGGGCCCAGCUGCGACCCCGGCCCCGCCCCCGGGACCCCGGCCAUGGACGAACUGUUCCCCCUCAUCUUCCCGGCAGGUAAGUGGCCCCCGCGGCGGUCGGGGAGGUGCUCCAUGGGGUAGGGCAGCGGGGGCAGCCGCCUAAUGGGCCUGCGGUGUCCCCUGGCAGAGCCAGCCCAGGCCUCUGGCCCCUAUGUGGAGAUCAUUGAGCAGCCCAAGCAGCGGGGCAUGCGCUUCCGCUACAAGUGCGAGGGGCGCUCCGCGGGCAGCAUCCCAGGCGAGAGGAGCACAGAUACCACCAAGACCCACCCCACCAUCAAGAUCAAUGGCUACACAGGACCAGGGACAGUACGCAUCUCCCUGGUCACCAAGGACCCUCCUCACCGGCCUCACCCCCACGAGCUUGUAGGAAAGGACUGCCGGGAUGGCUUCUAUGAGGCUGAGCUCUGCCCGGACCGCUGCAUCCACAGGUGAGCUCCCUGCAGGCUAGGAGGCCCAGCAUGAGGGGACAGGAGGCGGGCUAUGAAGUGGCCGCUACAGUGUUACUAAUUUCUGGACACAGGGCAGAAUUCCUCACUCCUUGCCCUUACUCAGCUCUGCAAGUAAACUCCCUUUGUCUUGAAGUUAUCUAUUUGUAUGUCUACUC
rnacentral:sRNA from 1 species